UAGAGAAAUGUUUUGCGUGACAUAUUUUGAUUUCAAACUGAAAUCGACAGUAAACACGUAAGCGGUUUUAUUACACGGAGGCUAAGACGCACAACUUCAACAUGGUCCACACACACACACAGCGACACGCAUUCACACGCGUUCUGUCAAUGAUUGAAACAUUAAAAGUUUCAAUGGACGAUGUUUAAUGAAUAAACAAAAUUCAAAUUUUUUAAUUGAGAUUGAAAGGCUAAUAGUGUAGUACAAGUCAAGUUCUGUGAGACU